CGGGUGAGUAACACGUAUCCAACCUGCCGUCUACUCUUGGACAGCCUUCUGAAAGGAAGAUUAACACAAGAUGGCAUCAUGAGUCCGCAUGUUCACAUGAUUAAAGGUAUUCCGGUAGACGAUGGGGAUGCGUUCCAUUAGAUAGUAGGCGGGGCAACGGCCCACCUAGUCUUCGAUGGAUAGGGGUUCUGAGAGGAAGGUCCCCCACAUUGGAACUGAGACACGGUCCAA
rnacentral:rRNA from 1 species